AGAUUGAACGCUGGCGGCAGGCCUAACACAUGCAAGUCGAGCGGCAGCACGGGUACUUGUGCCUGGUGGCGAGCGGCGGACGGGUGAGUAAUGCCUAGGAAUCUGCCUGAUAGUGGGGGAUAACGCUCGGAAACGGACGCUAAUACCGCAUACGUCCUACGGGAGAAAGCAGGGGACCUUCGGGCCUUGCGCUAUCAGAUGAGCCUAGGUCGGAUUAGCUAGUUGGUGGGUAAUGGCUCACCAAGGCGACGAUCCGUAACUGGUCUGAGAGGAUGAUCAGUCACACUGGAACUGAGACACGGUCCAGACUCCUACGGGAGCAGCAGGUGGGGAAUAGUUGGACAAGUGGGACAAAGCCUGAUCCAGCCAUGCCGCGUGUGUGAAGAAGGUC
rnacentral:rRNA from 1 species